UGUUAAGAGAGCCGUAGACUUCAUUAAAU
rnacentral:piRNA from 1 species